UACGUAGGGUGCAAGCGUUGUCCGGAAUUAUUGGGCGUAAAGAGCUCGUAGGCGGUCUGUCGCGUCGGCUGUGAAAACCCGGGGCUCAACCCCGGGCCUGCAGUCGAUACGGGCAGACUAGAGUGCGGUAGGGGAGACUGGAAUUCCUGGUGUAGCGGUGAAAUGCGCAGAUAUCAGGAGGAACACCGGUGGCGAAGGCGGGUCUCUGGGCCGUAACUGACGUUGAGGAGCGAAAGCGUGGGGAGCGAACAGG
rnacentral:rRNA from 1 species